ACGCUGCUACUAAAAUAGUAGGAGCGCUUCUUUAGUAACACACGCUACUAGUAUCUAGGAUACUAGUAGCGCUUCUAUAGUAACACACGCUACUAGUAUCUAUCCUAAUAGCGCACGGGUUUUCCCAAACGCUACUACUAACUAAUUAUGAAUUAAAAAAAUAAAAUCCACAAAUUCCAUUUUAUGCAUUACACAUCAUUAUACAUCAUUACAAAUCCAAGAUUUAUAGUAAACCAGGAGCAUUAGAGCAUAUCCAGACACCUACAGUUCUUGCCAAGGCAAACAGAAUUACAGGCAAACCAAAAAUGCAUAGAAAGACCAAACUGUGGCAUCCUAUCUCUCCAAAUGAUCUGCUCCCGCUGCAUCCUUGCAAGCGUCUUCACGAUAAGCAAAUCUACAGGAAAAAAGUCAACUUAGCAUAUAGAUUUUAUCCAUUGCCUUGGCCAUGUUCAAGAAGCACUAAAUUUGGAACAUUUCUACUAUAAAUACAUGAGGCAUCGGGACAAAAAACAAAAGAUGAGCAAUAUCAUAUGAGAAGAAUAAAAAGGAGUUUGGACCAUAGAAUGGUUAACAAUAAAACUAGAAGCAACAUGCACGCUUUGCCGCACCGAGUCAUGAGUCCAGCAUAAAUUUUGCACGUUGCCCCAAGAUGUAUUGCAAAGAGCCUCCAUAUAAGAAAUUACAAUUUGGCUAAUUUGGAUAUAUUGAAACAAUGCAUACAUCCCCUUCUUGGUACAGUAAAACAUUGUUUCAUCUCAGGCGACAACCAUUUAGUUUAGAUUAAAGGAUAACUUUCAGAAAAAUAAUUAACCCUUAAAACCUGUUAACAAAAAAAUACAUUGUCACUAUAGAGUAACUUGGAAAAUUUCAAAAUUUCAAACAUGUUAUCUAGAAUGGCAUUACUUAUUUUGGGCAUAGCUAAACGUACAAGCUUAAUACUACUGAAAUUCUAAAAUCUAUUUGUAUGUGUUCGAUCAGAAGCAAUGUUUGGUUUUGUUCAUAGGUUGUCCCCUGUUUUGUCAUUCCACCUAACUGAAAGAGAUUGUAAUUGGGUCAACAAAUGGCAUACAUUUUUUUAGGUAGACAAACCUAUUUUGUUGAAAAUCUUAACUUUGUAGUUCAGUAGCUAUUGUGUAGGUGUAUUUCAAUCUUAUGGCUUUUUUUGCCUGAGAUUCCUAUAUACUGCUUAAUUUCUUCUUAAUUCCCCGUGUUUACUACCACUAUACCACUAUAUUUGAUAUGUUUUUAUUUAGUUCCAUUUAAUAUUGAUUCAGCUAUAUUAUGGGUGGCUUUGGCAUUUUUCCCUUACAAUCGUGUGUCUGACGAAUUAUGGGGUGUGCCUCUUUCACACUAAUGUCCGUUGCAAACUAGUUGCAAACUAAUCAUGAAAUUCAAUUACUUCAAGUCUUUACUGACAACAUGAUUUACCUCCAAUUCGUUGCUCCUUUUGUUUCAUCACAAAGCAAUGAAGUUUAGUAGCAUAACUUCUAGUAGUAUUAAGAAAAUCCAUAUCAAAGGGACUUAAGAUACUUCUAUGUUUCAUUUUGAUGACACUCUCAUGUGUCAGACUAGUUAUACUUAGUCAAUGUCGUAAAUAGUUGCUAGACACAUACUAGUUCAAUACGGCGACUCCCACCAAUGAAGUUGGCACAGUUUGAUAAAAGACAUGGUUAGUGUGCAUUUUUAACAAUAGUUACAGAAUUUGGCUUUUUGUCUUGUUUCUCACUAUACUUUUGAUUCACCUGCAGCUAGCAUGUUAUGGGUUCAUGUGAUUGUGAUGAAUUUGGUAUAUCCAAAGUCCCACUGCGAUAUCUUUGAUUUUUACAUUAUAUUAUUUCUAGUUCGGGGCAGUGAAGCCUAUUAGUCCUGAAGUGUUAUAUGUGCUUCUGUGAUGGUGGCCACUACCUAUUUGUUGGUAUACUUUCAAGAAUUGAAAAUAUUCUUUUUUUUCAGUAUCUGUUCAAGUGGAUGACGGUUAAUGUACGAGGGAUAGAGAGUCAUGUCUUCAUAUUUAUGGUCGUUAAGAGUAAUGUGCAAUUGAAACUGAAACCUUCAUUUACUAAUAACCAGUAGCAAAGUUCAGGUUUUGUGAGAAGAAAAGUGAACCAAAGGCUAUAGUACUAUUAAUAGGAUAAUGUGUUGCUUCCAGCCCAUGGAUAAGAAUGUUUCAGUCGCUACAGAGAUAGCCGAACAGAGGAAGUUGGCGUAAAAUCUAUGGUCACCUACUGCUUGAAGAUCAAGUUCGACAGUAAUCAGUUUACAAAUUCGGUAGCAUUCAAUUUUGUAAUAGUGAUUUCUAAAAAAUAAUAAUCAUGCCGCUGGUUACUUAGUGCUCAGUGGCACUCAGUUACGUCCAAACGAAUUUUAUUUGUAAUCUUAAGAUGAAUUUUAUUAGACCGCUUUGUUAUUCCAUGGUUACCAAAAAUUCCUUGUGUACAAAAUCAACCAGUGACCUAUCUUUCUUACGGUUACUAAAAAUGCCUCCUACAGAAUUGUGAUAGUGGCCUAUGUUACUUAAAUCAAUCACGUACCAUAUUUCAUUUUUAGUAGAGAACCGGUGUACUCAGUCCAAUGUAAACAGCAAUAUAUCUAAGGUAAAAUACCUGAACUAUAGAAAGGCAGACCUAUAUCUGAAAAAAAACAAAAACACCUCACUACUGUAAGAUUACCUGAUUAGCCGUAAAAUUACAGAAAGAGGCGCUCUGUGGGUUGCUCGCCUACAGGAACAGGAAGUAAAUUUUUUUUUUUGAAAUACCUACAGGAAGUAAUUGACUCACAUGCAAACUGUAAGAGUACCUUACACUCUUUUCUUUACAGUUGUUUUAGUGCGGAGACCCGUUUCUCAUUCAAAGCUACAAUAUUACCUCACAAAAGUUCUGCUUCAUACUGUCUGUGGUUUUGGACGUGGGAGCAGAAGUUGGCUGGGGUGACAAAUAGCGCGACCCAGCAAGACAUUUGAACACUGGCAAAUUUGCAACUAAUGGGAGCUGGGGCUUUUCUUGGAAACUAAAAUUUUACACUAACCUACACAUAACUAUGCUGAUGUUACAUCCUGACUACAGUAUGUCUGCGGUGCCUAAGAAACUAAAACAUCAAAUGACACUCUUCCAAGUUUUGUAAGAUUCUACUGUUUUCACUGUACAAUCAAAAAGCAAGCUGGAACUUACAUGUUGCCCUUUGAUCCAGAUGCAACUUGUUCCAAAACUUUAGCACCUUCAGGUCAAUUUCCUAAAUAUCUGGCCCAAUUGGUCAAGCACCAAGCAAAGGCGUUCGCUGCUCCGGCAGAGACGGAAGGGACCACAUCGGCGAGGCGGUGAUCCUGAGACCCACGCCACCCUCCUGUGUGACCCACCGCCGUCGAGAUCUCCAUGACCCCCUUCCUUCACAUAAUACAAGCAGAUCAGAUUGAAUACUUGUAUCAUAUCAAAUGCAGAGUAAACAGCAACACAUAAACAACAUGUACCUUGCAAACAAAGUGUUGAAAUUUUUGUUGCCGCUGUACAGUAACAAGCCUAGGAGACUAGGAGGUGCAGAACUUUGAUUUGGUCUACCUGCAGAGACCAUACAGAGACGGGGGUCAGAGGGAGAAGGGAGGUAGAAGGAUCCGCAGCAGCUUCUCCUUGGAGGAAAGGGAACUCACCAGAUGAGAUGGGGAAAAACUGUACAAACCCUAGCCAUGGCCGUGGGCUAUGGCUUCGUUCGUGAGGAGGGAGGGAGGUUGGCGCGGUAGGCGGCUACGGGGUCCUCUGCUCUGCUGCUCGCCGAUUGGUUGUGGACGAGCCGGUGGCGGUCCUCUGCUGCUCGCCGCGGCUCGACCACGAACAGGGUGGCGGCGCGACUGGAGAGGAGACGAACUGAAGGUGGAGGAGGACCACAGGCUCCUGCGUGAUCUGGCCGUCAGCAUCGUCUGGAGGUGGAGGAAGCAGGUGGGGGGAGGGAGCUGGGAGAUGCACCGGCGUGGGAUCCGGGAGACGGGGAGAGUAAUGGGGAUUGGCGUGGGAUGGGGAUACGGGGGAUACGGGAAGACUUGUGUGAUUGCGUUGGU
rnacentral:lncRNA from 1 species